rnacentral:ncRNA from 2 species
GUAGAGGUGCAGGGAGCCUUCGGGUUCUCAACUUAUUUCCAAACUUCGAACCUCCUUGUUAGGCAUUUACCUAACUGGAAAUGCUUAAAUGAAUUAGCGUUACAAGUGGGCUCUGACCGGUAAGCGGUCAUGGCGAAAUGGGAUGAACCAUACGUCUGAAUAAGGUGCCGAAAUGUACUAUCACUGAUACCAUAAAGGGAGUCCAUGUAUUUAGACAGCAGGUCGGUGCCCCUAAAAGCAGGUAUCCGCUAAAGAGUGUGUUAAAACUCACCUGCCGAAUACUAGGGCCCCGAAAAUGAAUGGCGCAUAUAGUACUACCGAUCUCAGACAUCAGUUCUAUUGAACUGAGAGUAGGGGGAUGUGGACAUUUUUGUGAAGGUGCAAUGUGAGUUGGACUGGAAGAAUGUCUAUUACAGAUCCUAAUUGAAGUAGCGAUUAUCCAGGCUUGUAUCCUGGGGGCUGAUGAGGAGUAGGGUUUCUGGACAACUUAAACAGAUCCAGAGUUAGUCGAUCCUAAUCUCAAUAAUGGGAGAAAGGGAGUACAGUUGAUAUUCUGUAACUGACAACAGUUCGCGGCAACGCAUACUAUUUUUCUCCGCCAAUCUUAUACCGUUGGUAGGGAUCUCUUUCCUACAUGACAGUACUAAUACCCAGGGAAACUGGUCAUCAGGCGAACUGCGGCGUUCUGCUGGCAAAACAUAGCUUCGGUUAUGUCAAUGGCUAUUGGAUUGGUCCAUGAAGCGAAAAAUAGUUUACUGUGUCACUCGUACCGAUAACCGCAUCAGGUCUUCUAGGUAAGUAGCCUAUGGCCAUUGAGGCAUGAUAGUUCAGGGAAUUCGGCCAAUUAGAGCUGUAACUUCGGGAUAAAGCUUGGCUCUGAUGAAAAUCAGAACCGAUUGUUACGCGGAGAGCCCAACUGUUUAAUAAAAACGUAGUGUCGCGCUGUGGUAGUAUAGCCAGUGAACGCGACAUGAAUCCUGCUCAGUGCUGUGUCUGUUAAUAUGGUUCAAGCCAACGAAGCACCGGUAAAUAGCUGGGGUAACUAUGACUCUUAUCAAAGUAGCGAAAUACCUCGUCACUUAAUUAGUGACCUGCAUGAAACGAGCUAUGAGGUUCUCACUGUUCCAA